GAUGAACGCUGGCGGCGUGCCUAAUACAUGCAAGUCGAGCGAACGGACGAGAAGCUUGCUUCUCUGAUGUUAGCGGCGGACGGGUGAGUAACGCGUGUAUAACCUACCUAUAAGACUGGGAUAACUUCGGGAAACCGGAGCUAAUACCGGAUAAUAUUUUGAACCGCAUGGUUCAAAAGUGAAAGACGGUCUUGCUGUCACUUAUAGAUGGAUCCGCGCUGCAUUAGCUAGUUGGUAAGGUAAAGGCUUACCAAGGCAACGAUGCAUAGCCGACCUGAGAGGGUGAUCGGCCACACUGGAACUGAGACACGGUCCAGACUCCUACGGGAGGCAGCAGUAGGGAAUCUUCCGCAAUGGGCGAAAGCCUGACGGAGCAACGCCGCGUGAGUGAUGAAGGUCUUCGGAUCGUAAAACUCUGUUAUUAGGGAAGAACAUAUGUGUAAGUAACUGUGCACAUCUUGACGGUACCUAAUCAGAAAGCCACGGCUAACUACGUG
rnacentral:rRNA from 1 species